rnacentral:lncRNA from 1 species
GGCGUUUUGGGUGUUCUUGGUUGAUUUCUAAACUGAUCUCUAUUUUUUAAAUUACAAACAGCAGUUUUACCCAGAAAAAUUUUCGAAAAAAAUUCAUUUGAGUGGGUAAACGUUUUCUGAUUGAUCUAAAAUUUUACAUACAUAUUUUUGGCACUGUUAUUGAAUAUACAAAAAUAUUUCCCGCAAAAAAAUAAGUCGAAAAAGUCAAAAAAUUGAAAAAAGACGAAAUCCAAUAAAAAAUUAAAAAAAUAUUCAGCGGGUUGAAUUUGGUGCCCAAAUUUUCCAGAUCAAAAAUUCAAUAUUUGAAGACAUUCCA